AAAAAAAAAAAAAAAAAAAAGACCGCCCAAAAAAAAAGACCGCCCCUAUAUGAACAGCCCAUCACUAGCUUGCAGCACAAAACCGUUUAACCUGUGAAACCUUCUUCCUCAAAGACAGUGCCAUCCGUAAUGCAUUUCCAUUUGCCCGCUGCUGGCGGUUUGCGCCAUAUGGUUUCCAUGAUCCGCGUACCUCUAACAUGAUCAUCUUUGUACACUGUUUGGGCUUGUUCCCAGUCAUUCGACAUGCCCAUUGCAGCAAAGGGUUUACGAGGCUGAAAUAAUGCAACUUGUUGACAAAUAAAAAUUAUAUUUUCAAUUCCCUAAAUUUAUCUAUUGACUUUGGUAAUAUAGGCAAAAAAAUUUCAAUAAAGCAUUCAUCCAAAUUGAUAUAUCCAUAAAGUUGGAAUCAUUACAGCUUUUCUGUCUUCUCAUUUUCUUGCCAUUCAACUAUACGUCUCCUAUACUUUUCCCCCUUCCCCUGGUCAGCAAAGUCUAUAAAAAAUGCAGAAAUUUAAAUACCCCUUCUCAAACUUCAAAUUUGUAGUGAAGUUGGUACCAUAAGUGGAACAGUAACCCAGCUACUCCCCACCUCCUUAAUCAGCCGACUAUCCCUCAUUUGGCUUCUCAAGCUGUCUACAAAAUCCCACAUUCCAAGUGAUGCAUAAAAAUUGGAUAGCAUUAUAUAAUUCCCAGGAUUAUUUGGUUCUAAUUCCAAGAGCUUCUUUGCAGCAAACUCACCUCGCGAAACAUCCAAAUUAAGACGGCAAGCAUUCAAAAGCGCUGCCCACACAGCAGUUGUUGGCCUACUGCCAUUUUUCUCCAUAUCACGAAACAGGCACCAUGCAUCUUCCACUCGGCCAGCCCGGCCUAAGAUAUCUAUGAAGCAAGAAUAAUGUUCCACACCAGGGUGUAAACCAUAUUUCUUCUCAACCAUGUUGAAAAGUUCUCGCCCUUCUUCCACUAACCCUGAAUGCCCACAAGCUGAUAGAACAGCAAGAAACGUCACAGAAUUCGGGGAGACCAUAGUUCCCUUCUGUUCCAUCUUAUUGAACAGUUCCAGUGCUUCAUGGCCAUGUCCAUGCCUACCAUAUGCAUCAAUCAUGCUAGUCCAAGAAACAACAUCUUUAUGAAACAUCCCAUCAAACAAUGAUCUAGCAUUCAAAAGUUUUCCACAUUUUGCAUACAUGUCUAUUAAUUUGUUGCACAGUUGAGUAUCUGAAGUAAACCCAAAUCUUGUCGCCACACAGUGGAUCUGUAUACCAAUCCACAGAUCAAAAUUCUCAGAGCAAGCUGUGAGAGCACUAGUAAAUGCAACUACAUUUGGUUUCCUAAUACUCAUUAUGGAAAAUGCCUCUUUAUAUCGCCUAUUCUGAAUACACCUAGUAAUAAAAGAAUUGCACAUUAUAUCAUCCUUUGUCCAACUCAAACUAGAAAAGACUUUCAUGGCUUCACCAAUAUGCGCAAUGCUAGAGUAGAAAUCAAUAAGAGCAGUACCCAAAACAACCAAAUCACGGCCCAUUACAACCACCAAGGCAUGAACCUGCUUACCUUGUUGAAAAGCCUCGAUAAAGGCGCAAGCCUUAAGCACAGAACACAGUGUGAACUCACUAAAUUGCACUCCUUCCCUCCUCAUUUUUGAAAAAACCCCAAGUGCUUCCUUGGCAAGACCAUGCUUUACAAAGCUUGAAAGCAAAGAAUUCCACGUCACAACAUCUUUAAAUUUCACUUCUUGGAAAGCCUUUACUGAGUCACCCAAGUAACCAUACUUGGAAUACAUAUCAAUAAGAGCAGUUUUGGUCACAGUUCCUAUAUCAGUGCCAGUUUUGAUCAUUAGAGCAUGAACUUGUCUGCCACGUUCUGGGCCAGGCAAAGCAGAGCAAGCGCUGAGAAUUGGUGUGACAGUAUAAGCAUCAAACUUAGGACAAGAACAAUGCAUGUGGCAAAAGAGAUCCCAUGUGGCAAGGAAGUUGCCAUUGCGAGAGAAAGAAGCGAGUUGGCAGUUAAGGGAGUAGAGCUCUCUGUGAGGAAAUGCAUCGAACAAGUGGUUGAUGUGAGCAUAACUUCUAUCAGUGAGGGCUUUUAAAUGACCAUUAAUAUGUAUUAUAGCGGGGAAGUUUAGGUGAAGAAUGAAGCGAUGUGAAGCAAACAUCAAUGGCUUUUGGGAGUCAUGAAUACUACAUGUUCCUUGCUAUUACGGCACAUAGAUGAAUUGUGAAAGCAAAUCCACCUACAAUUAUUCUUUACAGACGAUGACGCGGCUAUUGGAUUCAACAAGCGACGCCGUCACUUGCUGGGGGUUCUCUAUACUCCGGAGACUGCGAUGGGGUGGUGACGCUCUGAAACUGCAGGCGUUUCAACGAUUGGAGGUUAAAAUCUUCAGGGAACAAGCUUUCAAAUCUUCACCAUUUGUAGAUUUUGCGGCAGAAACAACUUCUAGCGAUUUCAGAGAAAGGCUUUCGAGUUCCGCCGGUGCCAAAAAUGACCGGAAACGGCGAAGGAAGUUUUGCUUCCCACUCUUCCUCUUUUUCUCUAUACUCUUAGCUCACCGCCGACGUCCCACCUCUACUGGUCUCACCG
rnacentral:misc_RNA from 1 species